rfam:Otolemur garnettii contig003828, whole genome shotgun sequence.
AUCCUUUUGUAGUUCAUAAGCAUAACGAUUGGGUUUUCAUGCGCAUGUGUGAGAUGUGCCUCCCACAAGUCUUGUUAGGACGUCAGCGCAGAUGGCGCAUUACUCGUCUGACA